rnacentral:lncRNA from 1 species
AUGGAAAUGUGAGUGCAAAAUUUAAUGAGAGUUAUGACAUCAAUUGGAAUUUCCCUUGGGAAAUAAAAUUUAAAAAAUAUUUUAAGAAAAAUCGCUCAACAAAAAAAGACUAUUGUAAACUUCCGGCCAUCUUAGAGCAACAAAAAAUAUUCUACGAAAUAUUUGUGUGGCCUUCCUUCAUCCACAAAAAAUACUAUAUCAUAAAUGAACUUUUAUUAAGUUCAAUUCAGGCAAUUCAAUCGUUUUCUGUAUAUUUCCUAUACGCAAUAAUGAACCACAAAAAAGUUCAUUCUAUUCACCUUCAAGAUCAAUUUUGAGGUGCGGUAAAUUCAGUUGAUUGAAAUGUUUAUUAUGCCCGUCGCAAGAGCCAAGACCAAGUCCAAAUCCACCCACUCGGAAUGAUCUACAAAGUUGGUUGAUGGGAGCACAGUGUGGAUGGAUGGACAGAUGAAUGCGAAUCAUUAUGAUGAGAGAUGAGAGAUGCACGGCCAUUGUUGGGGCGCCCACUCUCGUAGAAAGCUACAAACAACAAAAUGUAACCUUGAGAAAGAGACGGUGACGGAGGGGGGCUGUUCCCAAAAGGCAACAGCCAACUAACUGGCGAAUAAUUAGGCACCCCUGCCCCUCUAUGCUCAGCGAUGCCCUGCCCUGCCCUGCCCUGCUCGUAAACUAAAAUAAACUAUGCAAAUAAUUAAUGAAAGCCUACAGAAAGACGAAAAAAGAAAUAUAAUAAGGACAUGUGGCGCCUUUGUUUUGAGUCCAGCGGAAGUCAACGGCAGCCCCUGAUCCCUGAGCCCCGGAGACCCUGCUGCCUGCUGCCUACUGCCUACUGCCAACAGUCCCAAGGUGUUGCCUCUCACUCUCCGCUGCUGGGGCUGCUGGAGGGCUUCUGCUGGUGCUCCACCUCCCGCCACUGCACCCAUUUGAUGUUUGACAAUUUAUUUUGAUGGCACACAACACGCACAGAAUACGUGAAUGGAUCCUGGUCCUUGUAUAACCUAACGACAUCCAGACAUCAACCUCAAUGUCAGCAAAGAGGAUAGGCAACAGGGGAAAGAGGAUAGGGGACAGGGGCAUAGCAAACGGCAUUGAUUAAUUUCCAUUUCGUCCACGGCGAAAAAGCAAGGCAAGGUCAACGACUACGACGAACGUCAAUCCAUAGUGGAAAAUCGUUGAUAGGAUAAUGUGGC